GCCAGGUAACCUAGUAAAUAUGUAUAAAUGUAACUGUAUUUAGCUGCUUACCUAGAGUUUUGUUUUAAAAGAAAACCUGCGCUGAGAAAUGUACAGGGGCUACCAUUCUAAAAAGAACAGCUGUCUGUAUGUGAUGCUAAUCCUCUGACUUUGAUCAUUUCAGAAUCACUGAUCUAGAAGAAACGCAAAUAAUGUUGAAAUACCCGAUCUGUAGAUUUGUUCCAGAGCUUCCUCACUGGAUUUCAUUGACAUGACCCUGAACAAAGUGAGCUGUAAAAGAUUGACAGCUCUCAGAAGACUCCAGCUUAGACUGAAGAUUUUAUUACAUCCGUGUGCAUGUUUAAAGAAAAAAAAAAAAUUCCAUAGCCGAUUACAACUUUGUAUAUUACGGUGUGUAUAAACGCUACUAUGAUGAAGAUCUUUGCACUCGCAUAUAUGAAGAAUGCAGAAGAAAUAUUUGAUCUGCUUGUAAAAAGAUUGAUGCAAACUAAUGACCUGUUUCAACUUGUCUGGAUCAGCAUUACAGUCUAAAUCACAUCCUUUGCAGAAAAUGGAGGACUAUAUUCACACACAU